rnacentral:rRNA from 1 species
GAUGAACGCUAGCGGCAGGCCUAAUACAUGCAAGUCGGACGGUAAGCGCCCCUUCGGGGGUGCGAGAGUGGCGCACGGGUGCGUAACGCGUAUGCAACCAGCCCCGUCCAGGCGGAUAGCCGGUGGAAACGCCGGAUAAUACGCCACGGUCCCGGAGGGGGGCAUCCCUUUCCGGGUGAAGCGGAGACGCGGGACGGGACGGGCAUGCGUGCCAUUAGCUGGUUGGCGGGGCGACGGCCCACCAAGGCUACGAUGGCUAGGGGAUCUGAGAGGACGGUCCCCCACACUGGUACUGAGACACGGACCAGACUCCUGCGGGAGGCAGCAGUAAGGGAUAUUGGUCAAUGGACGAUAGUCUGAACCAGCCAAGUCGCGUGCGGGAUGAAGGCCCUCCGGGUCGUAAACCGCUUUAGCCGGGGAGUAACGUGCGGAACGUGUUCCGCAGUGAGAGUACCCGGAGAAUAAGCAUCGGCUAACUCCGUGCCAGCAGCCGCAGUAACAC